rnacentral:rRNA from 1 species
UACGAAGGGUGCAAGCGUUGCUCGGAAUUAUUGGGCGUAAAGGGUAGGUAGGUGGUAAUAAAAGUCUGGGGUGAAAUCCCUGAGCUCAACUCAGGACGUGCCUUGGAAACUUUAUUACUAGAGUGCUGGAGAGGUCCGCAGAAUUCCCGGUGUAGCGGUGAAAUGCGUAGAGAUCGGGAGGAAUACCAGAGGCGAAGGCGGCGGACUGGACAGUCACUGACACUCAACUACGAAAGCGUGG